GACAGAGGGUGCAAACGUUGUUCGGAAUUACUGGGCGUAAAGAGCGUGUAGGCGGCCAGGUAGGUCAGCUGUGAAAACUCGAGGCUCAACCUCGAGCUGUCGGCUGAAACCAUCUGGCUAGAGUCCGGAAGAGGAGAAUGGAAUUCCCGGUGUAGCGGUGAAAUGCGCAGAUAUCGGGAAGAACACCCGUGGCGAAGGCGGUUCUCUGGGACGGUACUGACGCUGAGACGCGAAAGCGUGGGGAGCGAACAGG
rnacentral:rRNA from 1 species